rnacentral:rRNA from 1 species
AGAGUUUUCCCCUUCGGGGGACAGAGUGACAGGUGGUGCAUGGUUGUCGUCAGCUCGUGUCGUGAGAUGUUGGGUUAAGUCCCGCAACGAGCGCAACCCUUAAGCUUAGUUGCCAUCAUUAAGUUGGGCACUCUAAGUUGACUGCCGGUGACAAACCGGAGGAAGGUGGGGAUGACGUCAAAUCAUCAUGCCCCUUAUGAUUUGGGCUACACACGUGCUACAAUGGACAAUACAAAGGGUAGCGAAACCGCGAGGUCAAGCAAAUCCCAUAAAGUUGUUCUCAGUUCGGAUUGUAGUCUGCAACUCGACUACAUGAAGCUGGAAUCGCUAGUAAUCGUAGAUCAGCAUGCUACGGUGAAUACGUUCCCGGGUCUUGUACACACCGCCCGUCACACCACGAGAGUUUGUAACACCCGAAGCCGGUGGAGUAACCUUUUGGAGCUAGCCGUCGAAGGUGGGACAAAUGAUUGGGGUGAAGUCGUAACAAGGUAGCCGUAUCGGAAGGUGCGGCUGGAUCACCUCCUUUCUAAGGA